rnacentral:rRNA from 1 species
AGUGAACGCUGGCGGUAGGCCUAACACAUGCAAGUCGAACGGCAGCACAGGAGAGCUUGCUCUCUGGGUGGCGAGUGGCGGACGGGUGAGGAAUAUAUCGGAAUCUACUUUUUCGUGGGGGAUAACGUAGGGAAACUUACGCUCAUACCGCAUACGACCUACGGGUGAAAGCAGGGGACCUUCGGACCUUGCGCGAUUGAAUGAGCCGAUGUCGGAUUAGCUAGUUGGCGGGGUAAAGGCCCACCAAGGCGACGAUCCGUAGCUGGUCGGAGAGGAUGAUAAGCGACACUGGAACUGAGACACGGUCCAGACGCCUGCGGGAGGCAGCAGUGGGGAAUAUUGGACAAUGGGCGCAAGCCUGAUCCAGCCAUACCGCGUGGGUGAAGAAGGCCUUCGGGUUGUAAAGCCCUUUUGUUGGGAAAGAAAUCCAGCUGGUUAAUACCCGGUUGGGAUGACGGUACCCAAAGAAUAAGCACCGGCUAACUUCGUGCCAGCAGCCGCCGUAA